GACGAACGCUGGCGGCGUGCUUAACACAUGCAAGUCGAGCGAUGAAGCACCUUCGGGUGUGGAUUAGCGGCGAACGGGUGAGGAACACGUGAAGAAUCUGCCUUCAACUCUGGGAUAACUCCGGGAAACCGGGGCUAAUACCGGAUAUGAGCCUUGGCCGCAUGGCCGGGGCUGGAAAGUUUUUCGGUUGAAGAUGACUUCGCGGCCUAUCAGCUUGUUGGUGAGGUAAUGGCUCACCAAGGCGACGACGGGUAGCCGGCCUGAGAGGGCGACCGGCCACACUGGGACUGAGACACGGCCCAGACUCCUACGGGAGGCAGCAGUGGGGAAUAUUGGGCAAUGGAGGAAACUCUGACCCAGCGACGCCGCGUGAGGGAUGAAGGCCUUCGGGUUGUAAACCUCUUUCAGUAGGGAAGAAGCGAAAGUGACGGUACCUACAGAAGAAGCACCGGCUAACUAUGUGCCAGCAGCCGCCGUAA
rnacentral:rRNA from 1 species